rnacentral:rRNA from 1 species
GACGAACGCUGGCGGCGUGCUUAACACAUGCAAGUCGAACGUGAUUUUUGUAGAAAUUCUUUCGGGAAUGGAAAUGAAAUGAAAGUGGCGAACGGGUGAGUAACACGUGAGCAACCUACCUUACACAGGGGGAUAGCCGUUGGAAACGACGAUUAAUACCGCAUGAGACCACAGAAUCGCAUGAUAUAGGGGUCAAAGAUUUAUCGGUGUAAGAAGGGCUCGCGUCUGAUUAGCUAGUUGGAAGGGUAAAGGCCUACCAAGGCGACGAUCAGUAGCCGGUCUGAGAGGAUGAACGGCCACAUUGGAACUGAGACACGGUCCAAACUCCUACGGGAGGCAGCAGUGGGGAAUAUUGCACAAUGGGGGGAACCCUGAUGCAGCGACGCCGCGUGAGCGAAGAAGGUUUUCGAAUCGUAAAGCUCUGUCCUAUGAGAAGAUAAUGACGGUAUCAUAGGAGGAAGCCCCGGCUAAAUACGUGCCAGCAGCCGCGGUAAUACGUAUGGGGCGAGCGUUGUCCGGAAUUAUUGGGCGUAAAGGGUACGUAGGCGGUUUUUUAAGUCAGGUGUGAAAGCGUGAGGCUUAACCUCAUUAAGCACUUGAAACUGGAAGACUCGAGUGAAGGAGAGGAAAGUGGAAUUCCUAGUGUAGCGGUGAAAUGCGUAGAUAUUAGGAGGAAUACCGGUGGCGAAGGCGACUUUCUGGACUUUUACUGACGCUCAGGUACGAAAGCGUGGGGAGCAAACAGG